rnacentral:rRNA from 1 species
AAUGGGCGCAAGCCUGAUCCAGCCAUGCCGCGUGAGUGAUGAAGGCCUUAGGGUCGUAAAGCUCUUUCGCCAGAGAUGAUAAUGACAGUAUCUGGUAAAGAAACCCCGGCUAAUUCCGUGCCAGCAGCCGCGGUAAUACGGAGGGGGUUAGCGUUGUUCGGAAUUACUGGGCGUAAAGCGCACGUAGGCGGACUGGAAAGUUGGGGGUGAAAUCCCGGGGCUCAACCCCGGAACUGCCUCCAAAACUAUCAGUCUAGAGUUCGAGAGAGGUGAGUGGAAUUCCGAGUGUAGAGGUGAAAUUCGUAGAUAUUCGGAGGAACACCAGUGGCGAAGGCGGCUCACUGGCUCGAUACUGACGCUGAGGUGCGAAAGUGUGGGGAGCAAACAGGAUU